rnacentral:rRNA from 1 species
GGACUACAGGGGUUUCUAAUCCUGUUUGCUACCCACGCUUUCGCACCUCAGCGUCAGUUAAUGCCCAGUUUGCUGCCUUCGCCAUGGGUGUUCCUCCUGAUAUCUACGCAUUUCACCGCUACACCAGGAAUUCCACAAACCUCUGCAUCACUCCAGCUCGACAGUAUGUAAAGCAGUUUCUGGGUUGAGCCCUAGAGAUUUCACUUCACACUUACCGAGCCGCCUACGUGCUCUUUACGCCCAGUAAAUCCGGACAACGCUUGGACCCUACGUCUUACCGCGGCUGCUGGCAC